UACGAAGGGGGCUAGCGUUGCUCGGAAUCACUGGGCGUAAAGCGCACGUAGGCGGAUUGCUAAGUCAGGGGUGAAAUCCUGGAGCUCAACUCCAGAACUGCCUUUGAUACUGGCAACCUUGAGUCCGGGAGAGGUGAGUGGAACUGCGAGUGUAGAGGUGAAAUUCGUAGAUAUUCGCAAGAACACCAGUGGCGAAGGCGGCUCACUGGCCCGGUACUGACGCUGAGGUGCGAAAGCGGUGGGGAGCAAACAGG
rnacentral:rRNA from 1 species